GACGAACGCUGGCGGCGUGCCUAAUACAUGCAAGUUGAGCGCUGAAGGUUGGUCCUUGUACCAACUGGAUGAGCAGCGAACGGGUGAGUAACGCGUGGGGAAUCUGCCUUUGAGCGGGGGACAACAUUUGGAAACGAAUGCUAAUACCGCAUAAAAACUUUAAACACAAGUUUUAAGUUUGAAAGAUGCAAUUGCAUCACUCAAAGAUGAUCCCGCGUUGUAUUAGCUAGUUGGUGAGGUAAAGGCUCACCAAGGCGAUGAUACAUAGCCGACCUGAGAGGGUGAUCGGCCACAUUGGGACUGAGACACGGCCCAAACUCCUACGGGAGGCAGCAGUAGGGAAUCUUCGGCAAUGGACGAAAGUCUGACCGAGCAACGCCGCGUGAGUGAAGAAGGUUUUCGGAUCGUAAAACUCUGUUGGUAGAGAAGAACGUUGGUGAGAGUGGAAAGCUCAUCAAGUGACGGUAACUACCCAGAAAGGGACGGCUGACUACGUG
rnacentral:rRNA from 1 species